GGGCGGGACCAUGAGGAGGGACGUAAAGGGGGCGGGGCGUUUGCAAAGGUGUGUGGCCGAGGCGGGGCGGGGCGGGCUCUGCAGCCGGGCGCCCACCCCUUGGCAGGAACGUCUGGCCUCAUCAGCAAGCAGUGUGCACACAAUUUGCAGACUACACGCUAUCAGCGAGACAGAGGCACGGGCAGGUCUUUGCGGGAAGGUCUGAAGGCAGACUCGGCAGGAACUGGGCAAACACAGGCGGUGAGUCACGUCUUCCCCCAUAGGGUCAGGGUGGCCAUCCCAGCAGAAUUACUUUGAAACAAAUCAGCUACAUUCAGAAUCUGAAACUAAGCACCAGUAACUAUACUUUGCAUAAAAGAGAAUAUUUAAAACAAGAGAAUUGAGAUACAAAGGACUCACUAGAAAAAGUAUAGACUAUAUGGAGGUUAUGAUUCUUGAUAUAAAUUGGCUCCUAUAAACCAAUUUUUUUAAAAAAAACCUUGAGCGCAAAUAGAACUGCCGAAUAGAACACAUAAAAUGAGAAAUUUCAAUGACCACAAACACAUGAACAUACAGCAUCACCAAGGUGCUACUUAUUUGACAAUCAGACUCGCAAGGACUUGCUGCUUUAUGGCCAGCGCCCUCCAGCUACCAGGUAAAGGCUUCUCCCACGCCGCCUCCCCUCUGAGGGCAGGGCCACGAAGCUUCACACCAGGCAGGAGCUCCACCUGCAGGAACUGCGCCGAGGGUCGCCCUUGCGUGUGAACCUGCGGCAGCACAGCUGAAAUGACCCUGACACAGCUCGUGGGGGAAGGUGCUUUGAGUCAUGGCCCCGGCCCCGUGUGACAGCUGUUAAAACAUAGAUGGAAGAAUAUAUGUAAUUAUUAAGUACAAAAGCUGAUUAUAAAAGUAUAUGGUAAUCCUAAUUUUGUAAAAAUGUUUUAAAUGAGAAAAUAAAUCCCAAAUACUAAUGCCAUUACUAUGGAGAGGAUUAUGGGAGAUUUUCAUUUUCUGCUUUAUAUUUUAUGUGCUUUGUAGAUUUUAUGCUGUAAGCAUAAAUGCUUUUAUAUUCAGAAAAGAAGAAUCCAUAAUCAAAUACAUCCUAUUUGGGGUAAUUUAAAAAACCUUUUCACACAUUUCAAAAUGCAGAAUUACAAAGUCAAUAACUUUUAUUAACAUGAUAUAAAAAAUUUUAGUGAUAAACAGAAUUCCUAGAAGUAGCUUUAAAACUUUAAUGCUUCUUAAAAUCUUAAUUUACAAGAUACUUGUCUUACUGUCACUGACCUUUCGAUACAAAAAUUUUACAAUAUUUGUUUGCUAUAAAACUCCAACAUUAAGGUCAGGGUCAGGGUCGGGUAGUUCUUCGCCCCGGCAGCCACUCUGUUCCGUGGAGCGGCCACUGGGCCACUGCGAGAACCUCUGUGUGUCGGACAAUAAGUUACACAGGUUAUAUACACAGUUACAAAAGGAUCAUCGAAUUCCAGGAUGUUGCCGCAAGCCACACCGCAGGCCGGCCCCACAGGCAACAGCUGCUGAGCACAAGCGACGUGCAGCCGAAGGAGAGUCCCCUGGGCCUGAGCCCAGCUAGCCAGGCCUUUGGUGGAGCAUUUCAAACGGCGGAGCCCUGAUAACAGCUCCGCCAGGCACGGAGCCAGGCCACUGCCAGGCUCCUUCCACGGCACCCUGGCUGUUUCUAGGCAGCAUCCUCGACUCACAAACCCUCCCAUCCUCCGUCCCCAACAUAACAUCCUGUUUCCCAGCAAAAUAAAAGCACUCUCGCUUAGACGCGAGCAUCCCUUCAAAUUCUUAGAAUACUUUGUGUUUGCGUCUUUGAUUUAGGUUUACUCGAUCAGACGACUCAGUUUAGUCACGUUUGAAUAAAAUAACUGAAUAUGAUUUGGCCAAGUUUCAUCGGCACAGAACUCAAGAUGCAGCCGCAGGGCAGGCUGUGGGCAGGCUCUCCGACCCCUCGGCGCACUGCCGGGGGCUCAGCAGACAGCGCAGAGGGCAGGAACCUCAGCCCAGCGGUGGUUCCUCAUUGUUGACUUACAGUAAAAAUAACAAUUCAAUACACUUCCACGCACAAGAGCUUCUACAGUGGUUAUGAAAACAAGCACUUCAGCGGAACAGCAAGAAGGCAGAAACCCAGAAAGUAGUUUAAAACUCAGUGCUGGUUCGUCCUUGUGAAACCGAGCCCCUCACCUGACAGCCCACACGGCCUCUGUUGCGUGUUAGUGGCAACAUGUGCGGAAAACUGGGCACACCUGUUUCAAGAGAGGCCACGUGUGUGUGUCCAGCCCAGUCUGGGGCCCAAGGACUCACUCCCCGUCCACCAGGCUCUGGGCGCUGCCCCUCCUUCUGAAAUGGAACUGAAGCAGCUGUACUUGGGCCUCAAGUUCUUUCUAGCAUCAAUUCUAUCUAUGAACUUGUCAUUUGAAGUGGGAAUAAAUAACUGAAUUUUAAAAUCAAUUUUUAUGUUUUUAGCUAAAAAAGUGCAAACUCACAACACAGCAGAGAACCAAGCCUGCAGCGCCUACAGCGCCCACGCCCAGCUUCCCUCCCCAUCACCCCAGUGGCGAAAACCCUGACAGUCAUGUCUUCGUCAAUGUGCCUGCGGAUUGAAAGAGUUCUUCAAAUGCUUGAGGGAGGGGUUUCUGAGAUGAGACGGACCUGUCGGCGGAGGACAGCCGGCCCCAGCGGCUGCGGACGCCACUGCGCCUUCCGCGGCUGGCCCUGCGCUCACAUGUUGUAGGCCACGUAGAUGGGGUCUAGCUGGUCGGCCAGGAAGCCGUCGCGCAGGUGCAUGCGCUGCUUCUCGCCCCGGGAGUUGAUGGGGA